ensembl:lncRNA
CGAACAGGCGGAGAGAAGAGCAACUGCAGAGGCGGACUGGGCUUCAGCUGUCAAAGAGUUGUAGUUGUACGAGCACUGGGGCACAAUAUUACACACCCGUUUGCAACGUUCGCUAAUUGCCGCGAGUUCACGAGUGCUGGAUAAGUUGUGACUCUCCUGGAACACUCAGUUACUUCAUGGGUGAUCUGAACUACUGGGAGCAGGCUUGAUUGAACACAGUCUGACUGCUGCAGGAAGGAAGGACCUCCUUCAAACAUCGUGGGUGAAGCAGUCUGUCCCUGAAGGAGCUGCCGGUGAUGGUCCUGUUUCCUGCAGGGGGUGGGAGAUGUCCUCCAUGAUAGACAACAGCUUUGUCAUCAUCCUCCUGUCUACCACCAGCCCAGGACAGAGCUUGCUUUCUU